CCUGGCUCACGUACGAACGCUGGCGGCGCGCCUAACACAUGCAAGUCGAACGAGCGAGAGAGAGCUUGCUUUCUUGAGCGAGUGGCGAACGGGUGAGUAACGCGUGAGGAACCUGCCUCAAAGAGGGGGACAACAGUUGGAAACGACUGCUAAUACCGCAUAAGCCCACAGCUCGGCAUCGAGCAGAGGGAAAAGGAGCAAUCCGCUUUGAGAUGGCCUCGCGUCCGAUUAGCUAGUUGGUGAGGUAACGGCCCACCAAGGCGACGAUCGGUAGCCGGACUGAGAGGUUGAACGGCCACAUUGGGACUGAGACACGGCCCAGACUCCUACGGGAGGCAGCAGUGGGGAAUAUUGCACAAUGGGGGAAACCCUGAUGCAGCGACGCCGCGUGGAGGAAGAAGGUCUUCGGAUUGUAAACUCCUGUUGUUGAGGAAGAUAAUGACGGUACUCAACAAGGAAGUGACGGCUAACUACGUGCCAGCAGCCGCGGUAAAACGUAGGUCACAAGCGUUGUCCGGAAUUACUGGGUGUAAAGGGAGCGCAGGCGGGAGAACAAGUUGGAAGUGAAAUCCAUGGGCUCAACCCAUGAACUGCUUUCAAAACUGUUUUUCUUGAGUAGUGCAGAGGUAGGCGGAAUUCCCGGUGUAGCGGUGGAAUGCGUAGAUAUCGGGAGGGACACCAGUGGCGAAGGCGGCCUACUGGGCACCAACUGACGCUGAGGCUCGAAAGUGUGGGUAGCAAACAGGAUUAGAUACCCUGGUAGUCCACACCGUAAACGAUGAUUACUAGGUGUUGGAGGAUUGACCCCUUCAGUGCCGCAGUUAACACAAUAAGUAAUCCACCUGGGGAGUACGACCGCAAGGUUGAAACUCAAAGGAAUUGACGGGGGCCCGCACAAGCAGUGGAGUAUGUGGUUUAAUUCGACGCAACGCGAAGAACCUUACCAAGUCUUGACAUCCCUUGACGAACAUAGAAAUAUGUUUUCUCUUCGGAGCAAGGAGACAGGUGGUGCAUGGUUGUCGUCAGCUCGUGUCGUGAGAUGUUGGGUUAAGUCCCGCAACGAGCGCAACCCUUAUGGUCAGUUACUACGCAAGAGGACUCUGGCCAGACUGCCGUUGACAAAACGGAGGAAGGUGGGGAUGACGUCAAAUCAUCAUGCCCUUUAUGACUUGGGCUACACACGUACUACAAUGGCGUUAAACAAAGAGAAGCAAGACCGCGAGGUGGAGCAAAACUCAGAAACAACGUCCCAGUUCGGACUGCAGGCUGCAACUCGCCUGCACGAAGUCGGAAUUGCUAGUAAUCGUGGAUCAGCAUGCCACGGUGAAUACGUUCCCGGGUCUUGUACACACCGCCCG
rnacentral:rRNA from 1 species